CACAGUAAAUCACUAAGCCUAAGAUUUAGGUCAGAGAUUCAGCUAGACAAACGAUUUGGACAAAUCUCUACCCCAACUCAAAGCAAGAGAACUCAAACUUUUGCCCAACAUCUUGACAAGACUUCCUAAGUGUUGUUCUGCUAUUCGUCUGUCAAAUACAGUUUAAGCCUUAUGCCCUUAGAGUCUGCAUGAUGAACCAGUGCAAGAGCUGCCCUACAUGGCUAGACCUGCCGAACGACAGUCUCAGGAACGUGUGCUGUCCUAUGACAAGUUUCCGACGGAAAAUCUCUGAACUUACAGAGGCUGAGAUAUAAAAGCACACCUGACACCCCCGAGUCUGCACUGAGUAAAAAUAAAACACAGGAUUACUAUGUUCUUCGAA